rnacentral:rRNA from 1 species
GAUGAACGCUAGCGGGAGGCCUAACACAUGCAAGCCGAGCGGUAUUGUUUCUUCGGAAAUGAGAGAGCGGCGUACGGGUGCGUGACACGUGUGCAACCUGCCUUUAUCUGGGGGAUAGCCUUUCGAAAGGAAGAUUAAUACUCCAUAAUAUAUUGAACGGCAUCGUUUAAUAUUGAAAGCUCCGGCGGAUAGAGAUGGGCACGCGCAAGAUUAGCUAGUUGGUGAGGUAACGGCUCACCAAGGCGAUGAUCUUUAGGGGGCCUGAGAGGGUGAUCCCCCACACUGGUACUGAGACACGGACCAGACUCCUACGGGAGGCAGCAGUGAGGAAUAUUGGUCAAUGGGUGCAAGCCUGAACCAGCCAUCCCGUGUGAAGGACGACUGCCCUAUGGGUUGUAAACUUCUUUUGUAUAGGGAUAAACCUACCCUCGAGAGGGUAGCUGAAGGUACUAUACGAAUAAGCACCGGCUAACUCCGUG